rnacentral:rRNA from 1 species
ACGAACGCUGGCGGCGUGCCUAAUACAUGCAAGUUGAGCGCUGAAGGUUGGUACUUGUACCAACUGGAUGAGCAGCGAACGGGUGAGUAACGCGUGGGGAAUCUGCCUUUGAGCGGGGGACAACAUUUGGAAACGAAUGCUAAUACCGCAUAAAAACUUUAAACACAAGUUUUAAGUUUGAAAGAUGCAAUUGCAUCACUCAAAGAUGAUCCCGCGUUGUAUUAGCUAGUUGGUGAGGUAAAGGCUCACCAAGGCGAUGAUACAUAGCCGACCUGAGAGGGUGAUCGGCCACAUUGGGACUGAGACACGGCCCAAACUCCUACGGGAGGCAGCAGUAGGGAAUCUUCGGCAAUGGACGAAAGUCUGACCGAGCAACGCCGCGUGAGUGAAGAAGGUUUUCGGAUCGUAAAACUCUGUUGGUAGGGAAGAACGUUGGUGAGAGUGGAAAGCUCAUCAAGUGACGGUAACUACCCAGAAAGGGACGGCUAACUACGUG